UACGGAGGGGGCGAGCGUUAUUCGGAAUUAUUGGGCGUAAAGGGCGCGUAGGCGGCUUGGCAAGUCAAAGGUGAAAUCCCUCGGCUCAACUGAGGAACUGCCUUUGAAACUGCCUGGCUUGAGGCCGGGAGGGGGUAGCGGAAUUCCCAGUGUAGCGGUGAAAUGCGUAGAUAUUGGGAGGAACACCAGUGGCGAAGGCGGCUACCUGGACCGGUUCUGACGCUGAGACGCGAAAGCGUGGGGAGCGAACAGG
rnacentral:rRNA from 1 species